rnacentral:lncRNA from 10 species
CUUGGCCAGCGCCGUCUUGUCUGCUCCUUACUGCACAAAGCUGUAAGAGAAGGGAAGCUGGCAAAGAGAAGGGAAGGUGGAGCCGCCAUUUUGAAUAUGCCUAGUCCCAGCAGCAAAACUGUCAUUCUGCUGGGAAACAGUGAGAGCCUGGCAUCUGAUGAAUCCUAUUUGAAGAUCAGGGUCUCCUGCCAUUUAGACUGUUUCUCCCAGAAAGUAAUCAAUGACAUGAGAAAGCCAUCUGAAAAGAGCUCUUGGGUUUUAUUUAGCAACUAAAAUCUCAGGGGAAUGUGAAAAAAUGUGAGCUCCGGAGGCUCCCUAUGAUGGGCAACUUUUAUGGUUAAAUUCAAUCAAAUUUGAUCUCCUAGCCUCUUCUUAUCCAUCUUUAGAUAAAAGUUAUAAUAGUAUGGGACUUAGGAAGUGCUGUGAGUGUUUGAAAAGCUCUUUGAAGAUAAGCGAAUUUUUUAAAUUAAAAUGAAGAUACUAUCAUCUUCAAUUAUGUUUCUUUGAUCUCUGUGGACCAUUGCAUGCCGGAACUUGUAGUUUUGGGCAGUUGCUUUGCUCUCUCAUAAGCCAAGAGGGGCUCCCUAGCUUCUGGCAAAUACAGAGGCAAAUGACAAUCUGCUUCAGUAUGGACUGGUCAACCUGGGACCAUUUCACUUGUUUUUAAAAAGUUUCUUUUAUUAAUUGCUUAUCUUGUUUUUAUACUAUCUUGAGUGGGUGGAUGGUGGAGGAACCUGAAAAUUAAGACUGUGAUCAAAGGAAUUACUUACACUGGCAUAGGUGACAAUUAGUUCAUGAACCUGGCCUUCCAUUGCUCUGCCAAAAUGCGGCCUCUCCAAAGCAAUCAUAUUUUGCUUGAGAUCCUGCAUUCGUUAAUGUGCAAAGAAGCUGCCUCUUAAAGUGUAGGACAAUGAGAAGAAUUAUAUUUUAUGAAAAAAGCACUGAAAUUAAAAAAGCCAAUGAUUUCUUUGGUUUAUGAUUUACCUGUGAAGAUAAAGUGAAGGAAAACCAUAUUGGAUAGAGUAGAAUAUCUACUGAGUAGAUAAAAUGUUUGGGGAAAGGCACUCAGCUCCCAGAACUCACCUUUCUAAUUAUUUAGGAUGAUAUUUAUAGUUUCUUCAGCUUAAGAAUUUGGUUUGGCUCCUAUUGAAAUGCAGAAAGAAAUCCAAGCAAAAAUGAAAACAAAUCCUUUACUUCUUGAUACAUAAUAAGGGAUCCAGUUGGAAAUUCUACAGUGUGCACAUGGGAGUCACUGGCCCCACCAAGAGAAGAGAAGGUUCCUACCGGUGAGGAAGCCAUGGGAAGGCACAGAACCAAACAGAAGAGAACUGGAACUUUGUUCCUAUUUUUUUUUUAAAAUGCCAUUCGGUGUUUGGAUGCUCUGCUUUAUUUUAUCUGUCUCUGUUCACCAAAAAUUCUCCACCAGAAAAAAAAAGCACCUGUUUGAAAUUCUGUUUGUACUAAAUCUCGCCAUGAAAAUGAUGGAUUCUUGAAGGGACCUGAGAGAUCAUCUAGCUUUAACUCCUUCACUUUAUAAAGAAGAAAACGAUGUGCUCAACAUAAACAUGCUUGUGGCUGAGCUCAAAUGAAAAAUGCAGUUCUUCUGCUUCCCAGGCCCGUCUUCUGUCUGCAGAAGUGCCUCACUGGUGUAGCUGUGGGCUCCCCUGACAUCGCUGUGAGUGAAGGCAGCGUGGUUAUGCCCAAUGCUUGGAGAUGACAGGUGAGGUACAAGAUCUUCCAGAAAACACAGGAAGAGAGAAGAGCUGCUGGUUGUCCAGUCAUCUCCCUGGUUUCUCUUCUCUGAGAGGCUAUGAGGUUGAUGCAAAUGUAGUUGCAGUUUUUGCCUUUACUUUCAAUGGUAAAACUGCAGUUACUGUUGCAGCAACCUAACAGAUCUAUUGGUUGGUAGUCAGAGAAUGUGGUUGAAAAGUCAGUGGACCUUCAGACAAGAUACGAUUUAUUUAUUUAGAGAUGGAGUUUCACUCUUGUCACCCAGGCUGGAGGGCAAUGGCACGAUCUCGGCUCACUGCAACCUCCACCUCCUGGGUUCAAGAGAUUCUCCUGCCUCAAUCUCCCAAGUAGCUGGGAUUACAGGCGCCUGCUACCACACCCAGCUAAUUCUUGUAUUUUUAGUAGAGAUGGGGUUUCACCACAUUGGCCAGGCUGGUCUCAAACUCCUGACCUCAGGUGAUCCCCCUGCCUCCGCCUCCUAACGUGCUGGGAUUACAGGUGUGAGCCACCGCACCCACCCCAAUAUACUAUUUAAUUUCACAGUUUCAGCGUGGAAGGAGAAGCAGAGGAGUUUGUAUCCCUCUGCAGCAAGAAGGUGCAUACCUCAAAACUGUCUGGAAGCAUUAGCUAUCACCUUGAAUUUAUUCCCGUGGAAUGGGUAUUUUUGAAAAAAGCAUUUUAAAAAUGGAUUUUCCUUUAAUUCUUAUGUUUAUUUCUGUAAUGUAUCACAUAUGCUUUUGAAGCUAAUUCUCUAUUUGAAUUUGACCGAGUGAAAAGCUAGCCAUAGGUUUUUAGUACACACAUAGAUCAUUACCAUAUGAUUCUGUAUUGAUUAUCUGCCCUCAGUCCUGUUUCUUUAAAUUAAAUACUAUUAUGAGAAGAGUAUCAGGAAUUUUAAGAUUCUGCAUAAGGAGUUGAACUGAAAGUAGGAGGGUUUGGUGGGGGAUAAAUAAUAAGGGAGACUUUUCUCUAUGGAGAAAAUACUCCUAGGCAUCAAAACAGAGCAGCAUUUGACAGAUAAUAGACCUCUACAUCAGCCUCGAGAGCAGGUAGGGCCACUUUUUUUUCUUACUCUCACUUUUCCAUCUUAAGGAUUAAUAUUAAAAACAAUAGUCAAUCCACAUUGAGCACUCACUAGGGCCUAGGCACCGAGCCUUACGUGUGAUAGUCUAACACUUAAUCCCCACAUCAACAGUGUGAGCCAUUCAUAAUUGUUAUUUCUAUAUUUACCCAAAAGGAAACAGGCUUACAACACUAAAAUGACUAGUUCAAGGGCACUAUAGCUAGCGGGUGGUAGUGGUGGGGUUUGAAGUCAGACAGGCUGACUUCAGGCUCAGAGAAAAGCUUUUUCUGAAACAAGUCUCAAACCUUGUAACUAGCAGCCAUCUAGCACUGUCCAGUGGAACUCUGUGCAGGAAUGCAUGUGCCCUAUGUCUGCAUUCUCCAAUAUAUGAGUCAGUAGCCACUGGUGGCUGUUGAACACAAGCACUCCAAAUGUAGCUCAUGCAAUGGAAAAACCAGACUUUUAAUUUUACUUAAUUUUAAUUAAUUUAAAUUGAAAUGUAAAGCCCACAUGUGGCUAGUGGCUACCAUAUGUGGAUAGUGCUGGAGGCAGUGAAAUCUCACGUUAAUUCCAGAUGGUUUUUAUCUCUGAUUAUUUGCCUACAUGAGCUUGUGACCUGAAAAACACUAACGUUAAAGCAAAAAGAAAAAAGCAAAAAGAGAGGAGAAAAGUAAGAAGCAGAGAGAAAGGGAGAGAAGGAAGGAAGAAAGGAUAGAAGGAAGGAGAAGGAAGGGAGGAAGGAAGGAAGAAGAGAGGGUGGAAGGAAGGGAAGAGGAGAGGGAGAGAAGAAGAGGAUCUUUGUUCUCAUAGAACAUAGAACUUGAGAACGCUGACCUAUCAAGGCUACUGGCCUGAAGGCCUGGUUAUGUUCUUUUGGGGGUUUUUCAAAUUUUUACUCCAAUGUUGUAUUUAUUGGCAUUAUACUAUAAAUAUUCUGGUCCACAGAAAACUCAUCAAACACAAUUCCUCAGCCUAGUUUGGAUUUCAUCAAAAAGAACAUCAUCCCUGGCUGAGCACGGUGGCUCACGCUUGUAAUCCCAGCACUUUGGGAGGCCGAGGCGGGUGGAUCCCUUGGGGUCAGGAGUUCGAGACCAGCCUGGCCAACGUGGUGAAACCCCGUUUCUACUAAAACUACAAAAAUUAGCUGGGCAUGGUGGUGCGCACCUGUAAUCCCAGCUACUCCAGAGGCUGAGGCAGGAGAAUUGCUUGAAUCUGGGAGGUGGAGGUUGCAGUGAGCCAAGAUCACACCCCUGCACUCCAGCCUGGGCAACAGUGAGACUCUGUCU